AGAGUGUGAUCCUGGCUCAGGAUGAACGCUGGCGGCGUGCUUAACACAUGCAAGUCGAACGAACCUUCGGGUUAGUGGCGGACGGGUGAGUAACGCGUGGGAAUCUGCCCUCAGGAGGGGGAUAACGGCUGGAAACGGCCGCUAAUACCCCAUAUGCCGAGAGGUGAAAUGAAUUUCGCCUGAGGAUGAGCCCGCGUCUGAUUAGCUAGUUGGUGAGGUAAGAGCUCACCAAGGCAUCGAUCAGUAGCUGGUCUGAGAGGAUGAUCAGCCACACUGGGACUGAGACACGGCCCAGACUCCUACGGGAGGCAGCAGUGGGGAAUUUUCCGCAAUGGGCGAAAGCCUGACGGAGCAACGCCGCGUGAGGGAUGAAGGCCUCUGGGCUGUAAACCUCUUUUCUCAAGGAAGAAGAUCUGACGGUACUUGAGGAAUAAGCCACGGCUAAUUCCGUGCCAGCAGCCGCGGUAAUACGGGAGUGGCAAGCGUUAUCCGGAAUUAUUGGGCGUAAAGCGUCCGCAGGCGGCCCUUCAAGUCUGCUGUUAAAACGUGGAGCUUAACUCCAUCAUGGCAGUGGAAACUGUUGGGCUUGAGUGUGGUAGGGGCAGAGG
rnacentral:rRNA from 1 species